rnacentral:rRNA from 4 species
UUAUAUGAGAGUUUGAUCCUGGCUCAGGAUGAACGCCGGCGGUGUGCCUAAUACAUGCAAGUCGAACGCGUUGGCCCAAUUGAUUGAUGGUGCUUGCACCUGAUUGAUUUUGGUCGCCAACGAGUGGCGGACGGGUGAGUAACACGUAGGUAACCUGCCCAGAAGCGGGGGACAACAUUUGGAAACAGAUGCUAAUACCGCAUAACAGCGUUGUUCGCAUGAACAACGCUUAAAAGAUGGCUUCUCGCUAUCACUUCUGGAUGGACCUGCGGUGCAUUAGCUUGUUGGUGGGGUAACGGCCUACCAAGGCGAUGAUGCAUAGCCGAGUUGAGAGACUGAUCGGCCACAAUGGGACUGAGACACGGCCCAUACUCCUACGGGAGGCAGCAGUAGGGAAUCUUCCACAAUGGGCGCAAGCCUGAUGGAGCAACACCGCGUGAGUGAAGAAGGGUUUCGGCUCGUAAAGCUCUGUUGUUAAAGAAGAACACGUAUGAGAGUAACUGUUCAUACGUUGACGGUAUUUAACCAGAAAGUCACGGCUAACUACGUGCCAGCAGCCGCGGUAAUACGUAGGUGGCAAGCGUUAUCCGGAUUUAUUGGGCGUAAAGAGAGUGCAGGCGGUUUUCUAAGUCUGAUGUGAAAGCCUUCGGCUUAACCGGAGAAGUGCAUCGGAAACUGGAUAACUUGAGUGCAGAAGAGGGUAGUGGAACUCCAUGUGUAGCGGUGGAAUGCGUAGAUAUAUGGAAGAACACCAGUGGCGAAGGCGGCUACCUGGUCUGCAACUGACGCUGAGACUCGAAAGCAUGGGUAGCGAACAGGAUUAGAUACCCUGGUAGUCCAUGCCGUAAACGAUGAGUGCUAGGUGUUGGAGGGUUUCCGCCCUUCAGUGCCGGAGCUAACGCAUUAAGCACUCCGCCUGGGGAGUACGACCGCAAGGUUGAAACUCAAAGGAAUUGACGGGGGCCCGCACAAGCGGUGGAGCAUGUGGUUUAAUUCGAAGCUACGCGAAGAACCUUACCAGGUCUUGACAUCUUGCGCCAACCCUAGAGAUAGGGCGUUUCCUUCGGGAACGCAAUGACAGGUGGUGCAUGGUCGUCGUCAGCUCGUGUCGUGAGAUGUUGGGUUAAGUCCCGCAACGAGCGCAACCCUUGUUACUAGUUGCCAGCAUUAAGUUGGGCACUCUAGUGAGACUGCCGGUGACAAACCGGAGGAAGGUGGGGACGACGUCAGAUCAUCAUGCCCCUUAUGACCUGGGCUACACACGUGCUACAAUGGACGGUACAACGAGUCGCGAACUCGCGAGGGCAAGCAAAUCUCUUAAAACCGUUCUCAGUUCGGACUGCAGGCUGCAACUCGCCUGCACGAAGUCGGAAUCGCUAGUAAUCGCGGAUCAGCAUGCCGCGGUGAAUACGUUCCCGGGCCUUGUACACACCGCCCGUCACACCAUGAGAGUUUGUAACACCCAAAGUCGGUGGGGUAACCUUUUAGGAGCCAGCCGCCUAAGGUGGGACAGAUGAUUAGGGUGAAGUCGUAACAAGGUAGCCGUAGGAGAACCUGCGGCUGGAUCACCUCCUUU